UUGAACAUUUUAAUUUUCAAAUAAAAUUUUGACAACUACGAGUACAAGGCUUGGAAUUUGAGAAGUAUUGAAAAAUGAAUCAAUUCAAUUGUAAAUUUGGAAAGCUUUGUAAUAUUAAAAUUUAUUCUGCGAUGUUAGAAAAUCUUCAUCAAAAUGAUCAAUGUCUCAAGAAUCAGAAGAGAAUUUAAUCGAUGAUAACGGAAACACAAACUCAAUCCAUACGCAUAUUUAUAUACUAGAAUUUUCAUUGAAGUUUCCGGGCCUAUAUCAUCCGCUGAGCAGAAGGCAAUCGCACAAUAGACAAAUUGUGAGUGAUACGAUUUUCAACAUCAAGGGGUUGAAUACUCAUACAUAUGUAUGUAUAUAUUAAAAAUGAAAGCAGAGCAAAAGAUUCCCUGGCGCCAAUGGAAAAAUACAAUGUCUGAUAGUUUUGAAGUUUGGACUUUAAGAAGAAGCAUAAAUAGAAUUUGUUUGAAAAACGUGAUUGAGAUAUGUUUGGCUACGUAAGUUUGUAAGUACGUAUGUAUGUAUGCAUGUAUGUAUAAGGGAAUCAAUAAAGGCAAAUGUUAUGUCAAAAUAA